rnacentral:rRNA from 1 species
AUGCAGAGGCACUUCACCGAUCUCCUCAAGGACGAGGAAGGCGCCGACGUGACGUUCGAGGUUGGUGGCGAGACGAUUGCCGCACACCGGUGUGUCUUGGCGGCUCGGUCUAGGGUCUUCAAGGCCGAGCUCUUUGGCCCCAUGAAGGAGAGCACGGCAGCUGGCCACACCAUACAUGUGGAGGACAUGGAGCCUCAAGUUUUCAGGGCGAUGCUUGAGUUCAUCUACAAUGACUCUGAGCCGGAGAUAGAUCACAAGGACGACGAUGAGGACGCGAUGUGGCAGUGGCAGCACCUGCUCGCCGCGGCGGAUAGGUACGAUAUGCAGCGGCUGAAGCUCAUUUGUGAAGAUAAGCUGUGCGGGUUCAUCGAGGUGAACAGCACGGCCGCCAUCCUGUCACUAGCUGAGCAACACUGCUGUGACGGCCUGAAGAAAGCGUGCUACGCUUUCCUGGGCACGCUGGGAAACCUGAGGGCUGUCGCCGCCACGGAUGGCUUCGACGAUCUCAUCAGGAACCACCCCUCCGUUAUGAAGGAGCUGAUUGCCAUGCUUGCGCCUUUUUGA